rnacentral:rRNA from 1 species
GCUUGCAUCCACUUUUAUACUAAACAAUUUGUAACAAAUGUAGUCUUAUUAUAAUUAAUAAAACUUUUAACAACGGAUCUCUUGGCUCUCGCAUCGAUGAAGAACGCAGCGAAAUGCGAUAAGUAAUGUGAAUUGCAGAAUUCAGUGAAUCAUCGAAUCUUUGAACGCACCUUGCGCUCCUUGGUAUUCCGAGGAGCAUGCCUGUUUGAGUGUCAUAAACCUCUCAAACCCAAGUUUUGGAUUUAUCCUUGCUUGAGUUUGGAUUUGGGUGUUUGCCAGUGAUGAACUGACUCACCUUAAAAGUAUUAGCUAGAUCUGUCUUUGACUGGUUUGACUUGGCAUAAUAAGUAUUUUGCUAAGGACAUCUUCGGAUGGCCAGGACUUGACUUUUGUCUGCUUACUAAACCUUACUUUAAGUGCAUCUCUGGUGUUACUUAUAGUAUUACUUUGACAUAUGGCCUCAAAUCAGGUAGGACUACCCGCUGAACU